UACGUAGGGUGCGAGCGUUAAUCGGAAUUACUGGGCGUAAAGCGUGCGCAGGCGGUUUUGUAAGCCAGAUGUGAAAUCCCCGGGCUCAACCUGGGAAUGGCAUUUGGGACUGCAAGGCUUGAGUGCGGCAGAGGAGACUGGAAUUCCUGGUGUAGCAGUGAAAUGCGUAGAUAUCAGGAGGAAUACCGAUGGCGAAGGCAGGUCUCUGGGCUGAUACUGACGCUCAUGCACGAAAGCGUGGGGAGCAAACAGG
rnacentral:rRNA from 1 species